rnacentral:rRNA from 1 species
CAGUAGCCACGGUAAUACGUAGGGUGCAAGCGUUAAUCGGAAUUACUGGGCGUAAAGCGUGCGCAGGCGGUUAUAUAAGACAGAUGUGAAAUCCCCGGGCUCAACCUGGGAACUGCAUUUGUGACUGUAUAGCUAGAGUACGGCAGAGGGGGAUGGAAUUCCGCGUGUAGCAGUGAAAUGCGUAGAUAUGCGGAGGAACACCGAUGGCGAAGGCAAUCCCCUGGGCCUGUACUGACGCUCAUGCACGAAAGCGUGGGGAGCAAACAGGAUUAGAUACCCGGGUAGUCCCUGUCUCUUAUAU